rnacentral:tRNA from 1 species
GCCGAGAUGGCGGAGCUUGGUCCAACGCGCAAGCCUGGAAAGCUUGUGAGCCUCGUGCUCGCGGGAGUUCAAAUCUCCCUCUCGGCG